rnacentral:rRNA from 1 species
CCUACGGGGUGCUGCAGUGGGGAAUAUUGGACAAUGGGCGAAAGCCUGAUCCAGCCAUGCCGCGUGUGUGAAGAAGGCCUUCGGGUUGUAAAGCACUUUCAGUGGGGAAGAAAGCCUUGGGGCUAAUACCCUCGAGGAAGGACAUCACCCACAGAAGAGGCACCGGCUAACUCCGUGCCAGCAGCCGCGGUAAUACGGAGGGUGCGAGCGUUAAUCGGAAUUACUGGGCGUAAAGCGCGCGUAGGCGGUCUGAUAAGCCGGUUGUGAAAGCCCCGGGCUCAACCUGGGAACGGCAUCCGGAACUGUCAGGCUAGAGUGCAGGAGAGGAAGGUAGAAUUCCCGGUGUAGCGGUGAAAUGCGUAGAGAUCGGGAGGAAUACCAGUGGCGAAGGCGGCCUUCUGGACUGACACUGACGCUGAGGUGCGAAAGCGUGGGUAGCAAACAGGAUUAGAUACCCCAGUAGUC